AGAUUGAACGCUGGCGGCAUGCCUAACACAUGCAAGUCGAACGGGAGUAGCAAUACUCUAGUGGCGGACGGGUGAGGAAUACGUAGGAAUUUGCCCUUAAGUGGGGGAUAACCCGGGGAAACCCGGAUUAAUACCGCAUGACCUCGAAAGAGCAAAGUGGGGGAUCGCAAGACCUCACGCUUUUGGAGAAGCCUACGUCGGAUUAGCUAGUUGGUGAGGUAAUGGCUCACCAAGGCGACGAUCCGUAACUGGCCUGAGAGGAUGAUCAGUCACACCGGAACUGAGACACGGUCCGGACUCCGUACGGGAGGCAGCAGGUGGGGAAUAGUUGGACAAGUGGGCG
rnacentral:rRNA from 1 species